AUUUGUAUCCUGCUUAUUUUUCUGUGAGCAUUUCCCCGUCAGUCAAUGUUCUUCAAAAACACCAUUUUAAGUGGAUGCAUAUGCAAUUUUGUAUGGGCCAUUUGGAGAGCCACUAUUCAAAAGACUUACUCUCCCAUCCCUGACUAGACCUGUCAUUCCUCCUCCAUUAUGUUUUUCAGAAAUAAAAUAAAAUUCCAACCUCUUUGUCCUCAGAAGGAAAAGAAAAAAAGGAGACUUACUGGGUUUAACAUAACAGACACAGUAUGCUAGAGGUAGGAAUCCUCUUGGCUUUCUUGGCCAGCCUGGCCUGACUUCAGCCUUCCUGCCUCCCAUUCCUGCCUCUGCCUUCGCUCCUGGAUUGCAGCCAGAGAAGGAAGCAAAGACUGAGUCUCUCCUGAUGGGCAGCUUGAAAUCCUACUCUCUCCACCAGGCAACUCCAAGGGAAACAUAAGCAUUCCUGUUGAAUAGUUCUGCUGAGCUAAGAACUGCUAUUCAAAAUGGCUGCUGCCCUCACUCAUUGGCCAAACUGGAUAAGUGCUCUGGUCCCUCUGCAGUGCUUACUGUGAUGAGAUGCGUCUAUUAAGGGAUGAAAACUCCCACUGGUCAUCUUCUCCAUCAGUGAGCAGGGUUCUACGUUCCAUACCAGUUCUUGGCCUUUCUAAGGGAGAAUCUGGAGGAGAGGGAAAGAGGGGAUUACAAGAGGUUGAAACAUGAAGGAUGAGAAGCAGCCAGUCAUGUGAGGAGCAGAAGGUGGAGCAUCCCAGGCAGAAGGCACAGCAAAUGCCAAGUUUCUAACAUGACAAAGAAUUUAAUAAGUUUGAAUUUAACGUGAACUGACAGAAGACCAAUUUGGCUGGAGCGUAAGGUGAGGGGAAGGCUGGAAAGCUGGGAAAAGAAAGGAUCAUGGAGGAUCUAGGUAAGGAGUUUAGAUUUUAUUCUAAUUACAAUAGGAAGGCAUUGUGGAAUUCUGACUACAGAAAACACAAUCCAGUUUAAAAUACUGAAAGAUCACUCCGGGUCCCUCUGUAGAUUGGAUUGAAUUGAGCACAAGUGGAGAAAAGGGAAACAAUUAGGAAGACAUUGUAGUAGUCCAGGAGACAGACGAUGGUGACUGGUGACACUGGCAAUAAGGAUAAAUUGACAAAAUAUUUGUAAUUGAACUGACAG
rnacentral:lncRNA from 1 species